UGGGGAAUAUUGCACAAUGGGCGCAAGCCUGAUGCAGCCAUGCCGCGUGUGUGAAGAAGGCCUUCGGGUUGUAAAGCACUUUCAGCGAGGAGGAAGGUGGUGAGCUUAAUACGCUCAUCAAUUGACGUUACUCGCAGAAGAAGCACCGGCUAACUCCGUGCCAGCAGCCGCGGUAAUACGGAGGGUGCAAGCGUUAAUCGGAAUUACUGGGCGUAAAGCGCACGCAGGCGGUUUGUUAAGUCAGAUGUGAAAUCCCCGGGCUCAACCUGGGAACUGCAUUUGAAACUGGCAAGCUAGAGUCUCGUAGAGGGGGGUAGAAUUCCAGGUGUAGCGGUGAAAUGCGUAGAGAUCUGGAGGAAUACCGGUGGCGAAGGCGGCCCCCUGGACGAAGACUGACGCUCAGGUGCGAAAGCGUGGGGCAGCAAACAGGAUUAGAUACCCUGGUAGUCCACGCUGUAAACGAUGUCGAUUUGGAGGUUGUGCCCUGAGGCGUGGNUUCCGGAGCUAACGNGUUAAAUCGACCGCCUGGGGAGUACGGCCGCAAGGUUAAAACUCAAAUGAAUUGCGGGUCUAGCUGUUCC
rnacentral:rRNA from 1 species